rnacentral:rRNA from 1 species
GACGAACGCUGGCGGCGUGCUUAACACAUGCAAGUCGAACGGGUCUGCCCUGUUUUUUGCGGGGUGGGUCAGUGGCGAACGGGUGAGUAACACGUGAGUAACCUGCCCCUCACUUCUGGAUAACCGCUUGAAAGGGUGGCUAAUACGGGGUGUUCUGGCUGUGCCGCAUGGUGUGGCUGGGAAAGAGUCACUUUUUUGGUGUUUUGGUGGGUGAUGGGCUCGCGGCUUAUCGGCUUGUUGGGGGGGUGAUGGCCUGCGGGGGCGUUGACGGGUAGCCGGCCUGGGAGGGUCGGCGGUCACACUGGGGCUGCGAUACCGAGAAGACUACUGGAGGAGGCAGCGGGGGAGGGUAGUGCACAGUGGGAGGAAGGCUGAUGCAGCGCCGUCGCGUGAGGGAUGGAGUCCUUAGGGUUGUGAACCUCUUUCGCCGGUGAAGAAGGUCCUGCUCUUUGUGGUGGGGUUGACGGUAGCCGGGUUAUGAAGCGCCGGCUAACUACGUG